AGUAAUCAAAUGGAUGACUCGUGGAUUUGUUUAUAAUGUCUUGGUCAUGCGAGCUCGUGUGACCUGAUGUCGGGCGGUCAUGAUUGUAUGGUCGAUCGUAGCCGUCUUGACGAACAAACCAAAGUUCGGCACGGAUUGUGCCAAGGUGCUUUGUUAGGAUUGGUGCGUCUGCUCUUGCUUGCCUUCGCACGCGGCAACAGGCUUGCGUGCACGUGAUUGCCACCACAUUAAGAACAACUCUCGGCAACGGAUAUCUCACCUCUUGCAUCGAUGAACAACGUACCAAAGUGCUUGACUUGGUGUGAAUUGCAUAAUCCCGUGAACCAUCGAGUCUUUGAACGCAAGUUGCUCCCAAAGCCAUUCGGUUGAGGGAACGCCUGCUUGGGUGUCGUGAAUCAAUCCCCCCUUCCUUCCCCUUGUGAGGACCCAUGGGGGGGACCGGGGGCGUUUUGUGGCCUCCCGGGGAAUCAAUAUGGACAACACCAAGGUGCGGUUGGCCUAAUAUCAACCACGGUGGUAGCUCGCACCUCGACUUAUGGUGGAUCGUCUCACACAAACAUGAGAUUUAUUCGUGUCUUGUGUUGGGCUGCUCGCGCGCGUUGAACUCAUAUGAACUUACGAUGCAAUCCAUCGUCAGGCGGGGCCUACCAGCUGACUUCAUCCAGUCAUAAACCGAAAGGAAGAA
rnacentral:rRNA from 1 species